rnacentral:rRNA from 1 species
CAAACCAAAGCUGGCGACCGGCGCACGGGUGAGUAAUACGUAUCCAACCUGCCUCAUACUCGGGGAUAGCCUUUCGAAAGAAAGAUUAAUAUCCGAUAGCAUAUAUUUCCCGCAUGGGUUUUAUAUUAAAGAAAUUCGGUAUGAGAUGGGGAUGCGUUCCAUUAGUUUGUUGGGGGGUAACGGCCCACCAAGACUACGAUGGAUAGGGGUUCUGAGAGGAAGGUCCCCCACAUUGGAACUGAGACACGGUCCAA